AAUUGAUAUGGCGAUGACGUUCGCCUAAACUUUAUGUCCACAAAGAGUUGAUGACGUCUACCUUUAA
rnacentral:ncRNA from 2 species